AAUUAAUUUUAUUAAUAUUUUUUUUUUUUUUUUGAUUUUUUAUAAAAAUAAUUUAUUUAUUUUAUGUUUUAGUAUUAAUUAAAAAUUAAUUUAUAGAUUUAUAGUUUAAUAGUAUUGUGAAAGAAAAAUUUAAAUUUUAAAAAGAAUUAUAAUAGUACCUUUUGUAUCAGGGUUGAUUAAAAUUUUUAAUUUUUUUUUAAUUUCUCAAAAUUUAUAGAGUUAAUUUUAUUAUUAAUUUAUUGUAUUAUAAAUAUUUAUAAAAUAAUAUUAGUUUUGAAAUUUAAUUCGUUAUAUUAUAUUUAGUUAUUUAAGAUUUAAAUUUAAUUUAAAAUUUUAAAAGUUAUUUUAAUUUUAUUAAUUUAUAUUUUAAAUUUAAAUUAUUUUAGGGAUAAGCUUAAAAUUUUUAUAUAAUAAUUUUUUUAUUUAAAUAAUUUGUAGGAAUAGAAAUUUUUAUUUAAGUUUGUAAAAAUUUAUUAUUUAUUUAUAUUUAAUUUAUUAAAAGUUAUUUAUUUUUAAUAUUAAAUUUUAUUAAUUAAUAUUUUAUUAAUAGUAAUAAUGAUUAAAUUAGUAUAAUUUUUAUUUAUAAAUUAUGAAUUCGGCAAAAAUUAUUUUCAUCUGUUUAACAAAAACAUUGUAUUAAGUUUAAUUUAAUAUAGGAUCUGCUCAAUGAUUUUUUUAAAUAGCUGCAGUAUUUUGACUGUGCAAAGGUAGCGUAAUAAUUAGUCUUUUAAUUGAGGACUUGUAUGAAAGAUUUGAUGAGAAAUAAACUUUAUUAUUUAUAUAAUUAAAAUUUUAUUUUUAAGUAAAAAAGCUUAAAUUAUUUAAAGGGACGAUAAGACCCUAUAAAACUUUAUAAAUUUAAAUUUUAAUUUUUUUGGUUUUAUAAAUAUUUUAUUUUUUGAAUUUAUUUUAUUGGGGUGAUAAAAAAAUAUAAUAAACUUUUUUUAAAAUUUAACAUUAUUUAAUGAUUUUUUGAAUUAAAAUUUUUAAUUAAAGGAAAAAGUUACUUUAGGGAUAACAGCGUAAUUAAUUUUUUAAGUCCAAAUUUAAAAAUUAGUUUGCGACCUCGAUGUUGAAUUAAGAUAAAUCUUAGGUGCAAAAUUUUAAGUUUUAGGUCUGUUCGACCUUUAAAUUCUUACAUGAUUUGAGUUCAAACCGGUGUAAGCCAGGUUGGUUUCUAUCUUUUAAAAAUUGAUUUAUUUUAGUACGAAAGGAUUAAAUAAUUAAAUUAAAUUUUUUUUAAUGAAUUAAAUUAAUUUA
rnacentral:rRNA from 1 species